rnacentral:rRNA from 1 species
UUCCGGUUGAUCCUGCCGGACCCUACUGCUAUCGGGGCGGGACUAAGACAUGCAAGUCGUGCGUCUCUAAGCUAUGAUAGAGACGCGGCGUACGGCUCAGUAACACGUGGCUAACCUACCCUUAGGACGGAGACAACCCCGGGAAACUGGGGCUAAUACCUGAUAGGUGAGGAGGCCUGGAAUGGUUCUUCGCUGAAAAGGCGUUGAAACCAUGCUUCUCAACGUCGCCUAAGGAUGGGCCGCGCCCGAUCAGGUUGUUGGUGGGGUAACGGCUCACCAAGCCUAUAACCGGUACGGGCCGUGAGAGCGGGAGCCCGGAGAUGGGCACUGAGACAAGGGCCCAGGCCCUACGGGGCGCAGCAGUCGCGAAAACUCCGCAAUGCGCGAAAGCGUGACGGGGCUACCCCGAGUGCCGUCCGCUGAGGAUGGCUUUUCCCCGGUGUAAUGAGCCGGGGGAAUAAGGAGAGGGCAAGUCUGGUGCCAGCCGCCGCGGUAAUACCAGCUCUCCGAGUGGUAGGGACGAUUAUUGGGCUUAAAGCGUUCGUAGCCGGCCUGGCAAGUCUCUCGUCAAAUCCAGCGACCCAAUCGCUGGGCCGCGGGAGAUACUACUAGGCUAGGGAGCGGGAGAGGCCGACGGUAUUCCCGGGGUAGGAGUGAAAUCCUGUAAUCCCGGGAGGACCACCAGUGGCGAAGGCUGUCGGCUAGUACGCGUCCGACGGUGAGGGACGAAAGCUGGGGGAGCGAACCGGAUUAGAUACCCGGGUAGUCCCAGCUGUAAACGAUGCGGGCUAGGUGUCGGUGUGGCUACGAGCCACUCCGGUGCCGCAGGAAGCUCUUAAGCCCGCCGCCUGGGAAGUACGGUCGCAAGGCUGAAACUUAAAGGAAUUGGCCGGGGGAGCACCACCAGGGGUGAAGCUUGCGGUUCAAUGAGUCACGCCAGA